rnacentral:rRNA from 1 species
GAGUUUGAUCCUGGCUCAGAGCGAACGCUGGCGGCACGCUUUACACAUGCAAGUCGAGCGAGAAAGCGGCUUCGGUCGCAAGUAUAGCGGCGGACGGGUGCGUAUAACGUGGAUAACCUGCCUUAAGGACCGGGACAACCUUGGGAAACCAAGGCUAAUACCGGAUAUGACCACGAUGUCUGAGGGCAACGGGGUAAAAGAUGACCGUUUACGGUUGUCGCCUUUUGAGGGGUCCACGUCCUAUCAGGUAGUUGGUGGGGUAAAGGCCUACCAAGCCAAAGACGGGUAGCCGGCCUUAGCGGGUGAUCGGCACACGGGGACUGAGACACGGCCCGACUCCUACGGGAGGCAGCAGUGGGGAAUAUUGGGCAAUGGGCGAAAGCCUGACCCAGCGAUGCCGCGUGAGGGAAGAAGGCCUUCGGGUUGUAAACCUAUGUCAGAGGGAAGAAGGGUCUGCAAUUAACCUUGCGGGCUUGACUUGUACCUCCAGAGGGAAGCCCCGGGUUAACUCCGUGCCAGCAAGCCGGGUAAUACGGGAGGGGGGCAAGCGUUGCUCCGGAAAUUACUGGGCGUAAAGAGUCCGGAAGGUGGGCUUGCCAGUUGGAUGUGAAAGCCCGGAGUUUAAUUCCGGGAUUGUUCCAAAAUGUUGACUUGAGUCCAGAAAAGGUUGGGGGGAAUCCCCGGGGUAGGGGAAUGGGUUAAAAUCCGGGAGGGAACCCCGUGACGAGGGCAAUGGUUGGGCUGGACACUGGGGGCACAAAGGUGGNUAGACCGGAUAAACCCGGGACAAGGGGAACCCAACGGGGGCGACAGGACAGGUCCGGCCCAUUGGGCAAAGUGUACAGGGCCCAAUGGGGGACAACGGGAACAUGGCNGGGAAUGUCGCGCAACACCAAUAGCGGAAAAUAGCAGGGGCAUAGGGACCAAUGGGCACGCAAG